GUCCUCUUGUAAAUAUUUUGAGGUCUGGCCUGCUCACUGACAAGAUUUUGAAGAGCCGCGGUAUUUUGACCGUGCAAAGGUAGCAUAAUCAUUAGUCUCUUAAUUAGGGGCUGGAAUGAAUGGUUUGACGAGAAAUCAACUGUCUCUUAAUAAUUUUUAAAAUUUAACUUUUGAGUCAAAAGGCUUAAAUUUUUCUUUAGGACGAGAAGACCCUAUAGAGCUUAACAUCUUAUUUUUAUAUAGUUUUUAGAUGUCUUUCUAUAUUAAAUGAUAAUGUUUUGUUGGGGUGACAUGAAGGAUAAUUAAACUCUUCAUUAUAAAAUCAUUAAUUUAUGUUUAUUAUGAUCCAUAAUUUAUGAUCAAAAGAUUAAGUUACCUUAGGGAUAACAGCGUAAUUGUUUUUGAAAGUCCAUAUUGAUAAAUCAGAUUGCGACCUCGAUGUUGGAUUAAGAAAAAUACUUGGUGCAGUAGCUUAGUAAUUAGGUCUGUUCGACCUUUAAAUUCUUACA
rnacentral:rRNA from 1 species